CUCUACGUAAAAUAAUAAAUAGUUAAAAAGGAUAGAAAAUCCUAAAUCCUAAACCUUUCCCAGCUUCUAUCUCUUCUCUGCAUCUUCUCCUCCUUUCUUUUUGGUUAUCGAUUCCAUGGCCUCGCAAGGCUCCCAAGGCACGCGUAGCAGGUCGAAUCAGCAACCAGGCCCUUGACGCCCGUCGAAGGAGGACAACAUGUUAUUGUGGUGAGAGGCCCGUGCUUGCUACUUCGUCCACUGCAGAGAAUCCUGUAUGCAGGUUCUGGGCUGUGUUAAUUAUGUGAUUGGAAAAGAGUGAGGGUACUUUGUGCUUUGUGUGGUGGGCAGAAUCCGAGGAUGACCCAAGAGUUGCAAAAUUGAGAAGAAAAGUCACAACUUUGAAGGAUAAAUUGGCAACGUUUCAACUGAGGUCUAUAAUUGUAGUAUCAUUUACUCUGGUUGAAUGGACAGCUGCAUUAAUCUUACUAUUUUAGUGUGUGAAAAGAUGACUUUCACAACUAAGUGUGCCCUUUAAACAAAAUAAAAUGACAUUAUAACUAAGUGUACCCUUCAAACAAAAUAAAAAAUGACAAUAUUUUAUGGUUGUGGAAAC